rnacentral:sRNA from 1 species
UGUCUAGAAAAUCGUUUGGUGGUCCGUU